CCCAGUAAACGGCGGCCGUAACUAUAACGGUCCUAAGGUAGCGAAAUUCCUUGUCGGGUAAGUUCCGACCUGCACGAAUGGCGUAACGAUCUCCACACUGUCUCGGCCAGAGACUCGGUGAAAUUGCAGUCGCGGUGAAAAUUCCGUGUACCCGCAGAAAGACGGAAAGACCCUGUGCACCUUUACUAUAGCUUGACAUUGGAUUUUGGGCCUGCAUGUGUAGGAUAGGUGGGAGGCUGUGAACCCUGUACGCCAGUAUGGGGGGAGCCAUCCUUGAAAUACCACCCUUGCAUGUUUAAGAUCCUAACUUCUUCCGGUUAUCCCGGAGAAAGACAGUGUCUGGCGGGUAGUUUGACUGGGGCGGUCGCCUCCUAAAGUGUAACGGAGGCAUGCAAAGGUUCCCUCAGCCUGAUCGGAAACCAGGCGCUGAGUGCAAACGCAUAAGGGAGCUUGACUGUAAGAGAGACAUCUCGAACAGGAACGAAAGUUGGCGUUAGUGAUCCGGUGGUCCCGAAUGGAAGGGCCAUCGCUCAUUGGAUAAAAGGUACGCCGGGGAUAACAGGCUGAUCGCAUCCAAGAGUUCACAUCGACGAUGCGGUUUGGCACCUCGAUGUCGGCUCAUCACAUCCUGGGGCUGAAGCAGGUCCCAAGGGUACGGCUGUUCGCCGUUUAAAGUGGUACGCGAGCUGGGUUUAAAACGUCGUGAGACAGUUUGGUCCCUAUCUUCUGUGGGCGAAGGAGAAUUGAGAGGGCCUGUCCCUAGUACGAGAGGACCGGGAUGGACGCACCCCUGGUGAUCCUGUUGUCGCGCCAGCGGCAUAGCAGGGUAGCUAUGUGCGGAAGGGAUAACCGCUGAAAGCAUCUAAGCGGGAAGCCUGCCUCAAGAUAAGUUCUCCCCUCGAAAGAGCUGAAGGGCCCGGGUAGACUACCCGGUCGAUAGGCUGGAGGUGUAAGCGCGGCGACGUGCUCAGCUGACCAGUACUAAUAGCCCGAGCGGCUUAUUUUU
rnacentral:rRNA from 1 species